UGGGGAAUAUUGGACAAUGGGCGCAAGCCUGAUCCAGCCAUACCGCGUGUGUGAAGAAGGCCUUCGGGUUGUAAAGCACUUUAAGUAAGGAGAAAAAGUUUGUAGUUAAUAGCUGCAAUCCUUGAUGUUACUUACAGAAUAAGGACCGGCUAAUUCCGUGCCAGCAGCCGCGGUAAUACGGAAGGUCCAAGCGUUAAUCGGAAUUACUGGGCGUAAAGCGCGCGUAGGUGGUUUGUUAAGUUGGAUGUGAAAGCCCUGGGCUCAACCUAGGAACUGCAUCCAAAACUAGAUGACUAGAGUACGAAAGAGGGAAGUAGAAUUCACAGUGUAGCGGUGGAAUGCGUAGAUAU
rnacentral:rRNA from 1 species